AAGUCGUAACAAGGUUUCCGUAGGUGAACCUGCGGAAGGAUCAUUAGCGAAGUUCGGAAUGCCGGUUCGGUGCUGCAGCUGCCCAGCGAUGGGAUGUGCUCGUCCGGGCCGGUGUCCCUUCACUAUUCCACCCCACUGUGAACCAAGCGUGCGAGCAGAAGAGAGAUCGGAAGCUCGCAUGCACACUUUAACAUACCCCUUAUGAAGUAUCUGAAUGUACCUUGCGUUAACUCGCACAAAUACAACUUUCAACAACGGAUCUCUUGGCUCUC
rnacentral:misc_RNA from 1 species